rnacentral:rRNA from 1 species
ACACGGUCCAAACUCCUACGGGAGGCAGCAGUGAGGAAUAUUGGUCAAUGGGCGAGAGCCUGAACCAGCCAAGUAGCGUGAAGGAUGACUGCCCUAUGGGUUGUAAACUUCUUUUAUAAAGGAAUAAAGUCGGGUAUGGAUACCCGUUUGCAUGUACUUUAUGAAUAAGGAUCGGCUAACUCCGUGCCAGCAGCCGCGGUAAUACGGAGGAUCCGAGCGUUAUCCGGAUUUAUUGGGUUUAAAGGGAGCGUAGAUGGAUGUUUAAGUCAGUUGUGAAAGUUUUGCGGCUCAACCGUAAAAUUAGCAGUUGAUACUGGAUAUCUUGAGUGCAGUUGAGGCAGGCGGAAUUCGUGGUGUAGCGGUGAAAUGCUUAGAUAUCACGAAGAACUCCGAUUGCGAAGGCAGCCUGCUAAGCUGCAACUGACAUUGAGGCUCGAAAG